ACUGCUUUAGUAAAAUUUUAUUAUGUCGUCUUGAUAAGGCGGAGUUCCGUUAGGUGAUAGUA
rnacentral:tRNA from 1 species